AGUGAACGCUGGUGGUAGGCCUAACACAUGCAAGUCGAACGGCAGCACAGUAAGAGCUUGCUCUUACGGGUGGCGAGUGGCGGACGGGUGAGGAAUACAUCGGAAUCUACUUUUUCGUGGGGGAUAACGUAGGGAAACUUACGCUAAUACCGCAUACGACCUACGGGUGAAAGCAGGGGAUCUUCGGACCUUGCGCGAUUGAAUGAGCCGAUGUCGGAUCAGCUAGUUGGCGGGGUAAAGGCCCACCAAGGCGACGAUCCGUAGCUGGUCUGAGAGGAUGAUCAGCCACACUGGAACUGAGACACGGUCCAGACUCCUACGGGAGGCAGCAGUGGGGAAUAUUGGACAAUGGGCGCAAGCCUGAUCCAGCCAUACCGCGUGGGUGAAGAAGGCCUUCGGGUUGUAAAGCCCUUUUGUUGGGAAAGAAAAGCAGCAGGUUAAUACCCCGCUGUUCUGACGGUACCCAAAGAAUAAGCACCGGCUAACUUCGUG
rnacentral:rRNA from 1 species